CUACGGGGGGCUGCAGGUGCGAAACCUUUACACUGUACGAAAGUACGAUAAGGGAAUCCCAAGUGCUCAUGCUUUGCAUGGGCUUUUGCCAAGAGUAAAUAUCUUGGCGAAUAAGUGGUGGGCAAGACGGGUGCCAGCCGCCGCGGUAACACCCGCGCCACAAGUGGGGACCUCGUUUAUUGGGCCUAAAGCGUCCGUAGCUGGUUUGGUAAAUCUUCUGUGAAAUCGUUGGGCUUAACUUAACGGCGUGCAGGAGACACUACCAGACUUGGAACCGGGAGGAGUUAGGAGUAUUCUGGGGGGAGCGGUAAAAUGCUAUAAUCCUCGGAAGACUACCUGUGGCGAAGGCGCCUAACCAGAACGGAUUCGACAGUGAGGGACGAAAGCUAGGGGAGCGAACCGGAUUAGAUACCCGGGUAGUC
rnacentral:rRNA from 1 species